AAACACCUGUGUGGAAACCAUAGCAAUAUUGCUUCCAGCCCGAGUCGACGGAUUCUCUACGCCCCCUCACGCCUCCUGCCGGACUCCCAACGCCUCCACUCCGGACGCCACACCGGACAAAGCAAAAUAUUCGUUGCCUUAAAGUCCCCCCAAAACUGGUUCCUCGCCUUCUCCUCCCUCCAUGUCUGAGGACACAGAUUCUUUGAGAUCUGCUCUUCGGGAAAAACAGCUUCAAACCCCUCAUCUGCUUAAAAACGAAGGAAAAGAAAUGAACAAACCACGAGUUGCCUAUGAAAUCAUCUGCCCAGGCAUUUCACGAAAUAAAGUGAAAUUACGAAAUAAGGAA